rnacentral:rRNA from 1 species
GCCAAUCAAACUCGGAAAUAGCUCGUACUCCCCGAAAUGCAUUUAGGUGCAGCCUCAAGUUUAGUUUAGUAGAGGUAGAGCGACUGGUUGGAUGCGGGGGCUUCACCGCCUACCAAAUCCUGUCAAACUCCGAAUGCUACUAAAUAUACUUGGGAGUGAGGGCAUGGGUGCUAAGGUCCUUGUCCGAAAGGGAAACAACCCAGACUAUCUGCUAAGGCCCCCAAAUGUAUGCUAAGUUGAUCAAACGUGGUCUGAUUGCAUUGACAGCUAGGAUGUUGGCUUGGAAGCAGCCAUUCAUUUAAAGAGUGCGUAACAGCUCACUGGUCGAGCGGUCCCGCAUGGAUAAUAAUCGGGCAUAAGCACACCACCGAAGCCGUGAACUUGUUUUAAGACAAGUGGUAGGGGAGCAUUGUAGUGUCGUCGAAGCAGAGCUGUGAGGCUUUGUGGAGAAGCUACAAACGAAAAUGUAGGCAUAAGUAACGAUAAUGUGGGCGAGAAACCCACACGCCGAAAGACCAAGGUUUCCCCGGCUAUGCUAAUCAGCCGGGGGUCAGUCGGGACCUAACACGAACCCGAAAGGGGUAGUGGAUGGACAAGCGGUUAAUAUUCCGCUACCCGCUUUUGCGAUAAAAGUGACGAGGAAGUGGCAUUGGUGCGCACUGACGGAAUAGUGCGUUGAACCAGAUGUAAGUCUGGGAUAGUACGGCAAGGCUACGGCUGCGCCGAUAAUCCAGUUUAGCUUUCUCCAAGAAAAGCGAGCAAAAGCGGCCCGUACCGUAAACCGACACAGGUGGUUGGGAUGAGUAUUCUAAGGCGCUCGAGAGAUUCAUGGCUAAGGAACUAGGCAAAAUAGACGCGUAACUUCGGGAGAAGCGUCGCCUCCCUCCGGGGAGGCCGCAGUGAAGAGGUCCAGGCGACUGUUUAUCAAAAACACAGGGCUCUGCAAAUUCGAGAGAAGACGUAUAGGGCCUGACACCUGCCCGGUGCCGGAAGGUUAAGGGGAGAUGUUA